CGAUUCCGGGAAACAGCUUUGAGUCUAAAAUAUUAUGGUGCUCUCCGGAAAAUUGAAAAUUUCAAAAAUAUUUCAGUUAAAGACUACGAAUUAGAGAUGUCAAAGAUUAUAAAAAAUGCACAGCAGCGACAUUAUAUGUCUGAGCACAGAAAGGAGCACGGAAAUGUCAAUGCUUUGGAGAAGUCACGCGCUGAAAAUCUGCUUGCUGCUAAGUAUGCGGCGGCUAGCAUGACCUGAUUACACGUAAAUCAUAUAAUAUAAUUUUUUGUAAUAAAACAAUAUAUAUUAUCUUAUAUAAUAAAACAUUAAUACAUA
rnacentral:lncRNA from 13 species